AGCAGCCGCCGCGGUAAUACGUAGGCAGCAAGCGUUGUUCGGAGUUACUGGGCGUAAAGGGUGCGUAGGCGGUUCUAUAAGUAUGGUGUGAAAUCUCCCGGCCUAACCGGGAGGGUGCGCUAUAAACUGUGGGACUAGAGUGUGGGAGAGGAAAGUGGAAUUCCUGGUGUAGCGGUGAAAUGCGUAGAUAUCAGGAGGAACACCGGUGGUGUAAACGGCUUUCUGGACCAUAACUGACGCUGAGGCACGAAAGCGUGGGUAGCAAACAGGAUUAGAUACCCCGUAGUCCCUGUCUCUUAUACC
rnacentral:rRNA from 1 species